AUUGAACGCUGGCGGCAGGCUUAACACAUGCAAGUCGAGCGGGGAAGGGUAGCUUGCUACCUAACCUAGCGGCGGACGGGUGAGUAAUGCUUAGGAAUCUGCCUAUUAGUGGGGGACAACAUUUCGAAAGGGAUGCUAAUACCGCAUACGCCCUAAGGGGGAGAGCAGGGGAUCUUCGGACCUUGCGCUAAUAGAUGAGCCUAAGUCGGAUUAGCUAGUUGGUGGGGUAAAGGCCUACCAAGGCGACGAUCUGUAGCGGGUCUGAGAGGAUGAUCCGCCACACUGGGACUGAGACACGGCCCAGACUCCUACGGGAGGCAGCAGUGGGGAAUAUUGGACAAUGGGGGGAACCCUGAUCCAGCCAUGCCGCGUGUGUGAAGAAGGCCUUUUGGUUGUAAAGCACUUUAAGCGAGGAGGAGGCUACCGAGAUUAAUACUCUUGGAUAGUGGACGUUACUCGCAGAAUAAGCACCGGCUAACUCUGUGCCAGCCGCCGCGGUAAUAC
rnacentral:rRNA from 1 species